UACGUAGGGUGCAAGCGUUGUCCGGAAUUAUUGGGCGUAAAGAGCUCGUAGGCGGUCUGUCGCGUCUGCUGUGAAAUCUCAGGGCUUAACCCUGAGCUUGCAGUGGGUACGGGCAGACUAGAGUGCGGUAGGGGAGACUGGAAUUCCUGGUGUAGCGGUGAAAUGCGCAGAUAUCAGGAGGAACACCGGUGGUGAAGGCGGGUCUCUGGGCCGUAACUGACGCUGAGGAGCGAAAGCAUGGGGAGCGAACAGG
rnacentral:rRNA from 1 species